rnacentral:rRNA from 1 species
AGAGUUUGAUCCUGGCUCAGGAUGAACGCUAGCGACAGGCCUAACACAUGCAAGUCGAGGGGCAGCGGAGAGGUAGCAAUACCUUUGCCGGCGACCGGCGCACGGGUGAGUAACACGUAUGCAAUCCACCUGUAACAGGGGGAUAACCCGGAGAAAUCCGGACUAAUACCCCAUAAUAUGGGCUCUCCGCAUGGAGGGUCCAUUAAAGAGAGCAAUUUUGGUUACAGACGAGCAUGCGCUCCAUUAGCCAGUUGGCGGGGUAACGGCCCACCAAAGCGACGAUGGAUAGGGGUUCUGAGAGGAAGGUCCCCCACAUUGGAACUGAGACACGGUCCAAACUCCUACGGGAGGCAGCAGUGAGGAAUAUUGGUCAAUGGUCGGCAGACUGAACCAGCCAAGUCGCGUGAGGGAAGACGGCCCUACGGGUUGUAAACCUCUUUUGUCGGAGAGUAAAGUACGCUACGUGUAGCGUAUUGCAAGUAUCCGAAGAAAAAGCAUCGGCUAACUCCGUGCCAGCAGCCGCGGUAAUACGGAGGAUGCGAGCGUUAUCCGGAUUUAUUGGGUUUAAAGGGUGCGUAGGCGGCACGCCAAGUCAGCGGUGAAAUUUUCGGGCUCAACCCGGACUGUGCCGUUGAAACUGGCGAGCUAGAGUGCACAAGAGGCAGGCGGAAUGCGUGGUGUAGCGGUGAAAUGCAUAGAUAUCACGCAGAACCCCGAUUGCGAAGGCAGCCUGCUAGGGUGCGACAGACGCUGAGGCACGAAAGCGUGGGUAUCGAACAGGAUUAGAUACCCUGGUAGUCCACGCAGUAAACGAUGAAUACUAACUGUUUGCGAUACAAUGUAAGCGGUACAGCGAAAGCGUUAAGUAUUCCACCUGGGGAGUACGCCGGCAACGGUGAAACUCAA